GUUAUACAACUUUCAACAACGGAUCUCUUGGCUCUCGCAUCGAUGAAGAACGCAGCGAAAUGCGAUAACUAAUGCGAAUUGCAGAAUUCAGUGAAUCAUCGAGUCUUUGAACGCACCUUGCGCCCUUUGGUAUUCCAAAGGGCAUGCCUGUUUGAGUGUCAUUAA
rnacentral:rRNA from 1 species